rnacentral:rRNA from 1 species
GAUGAACGCUGGCGGCGUGCUUAACACAUGCAAGUCGAACGAAGAUGCCGGAGUGCUUGCACUUUGGCAGACUGAGUGGCGGACGGGUGAGUAACGCGUGGGUAACCUGCCUUAUACAGGGGGAUAACAGUUGGAAACGACUGCUAAUACCGCAUAAGCGCACGGUAUCGCAUGAUACAGUGUGAAAAACUCCGGUGGUAUAAGAUGGACCCGCGUCUGAUUAGCUAGUUGGUGAGGUAACGGCCCACCAAGGCGACGAUCAGUAGCCGGCCUGAGAGGGUGAACGGCCACGAUUGGGACUGAGACACGGCCCAAACUCCUACGGGAGGCAGCAGUGGGGAAUAUUGCACAAUGGGCGCAAGCCUGAUGCAGCCAUGCCGCGUGUAUGAAGAAGGCCUC